rnacentral:rRNA from 1 species
UCCAGACUCCUACGGGAGGCAGCAGUGGGGGAUAUUGCACAAUGGGGGAAACCCUGAUGCAGCGACGCCGCGUGAGUGAAGAAGUAUUUCGGUAUGUAAAGCUCUAUCAGCAGGGAAGAAAAUGACAGUACCUGACCAAGAAGCCCCGGCUAACUACGUGCCAGCAGCCGCGGUAAUACGGAGGAUGCGAGCGUUAUCCGGAUUUAUUGGGUUUAAAGGGUGCGUAGGCGGGACGGUAAGUCAGCGGUAAAAAUGGGGGUCUAAACUCGGUCGAGCCGUUGAAACUGCCGUUCUUGAGUGAGCGAGAAGUAUGCGGAAUGCGUGGUGUAGCGGUGAAAUGCAUAGAUAUCACGCAGAACUCCGAUUGCGAAGGCAGCAUACCGGCGCUCAACUGACGCUGAAGCACGAAGGCGUGGGUAUCGAACAGGAUUAGAUACCCGAGUA